rnacentral:tRNA from 1 species
GCCUGAGUAGCUCAGCCAGGUAGAGCAACCGUUUCAUAGGCGGUGGGUCGCUGGUCCGAAUCCAGUCUCAGGCA